UACGUAGGGUGCAAGCGUUGUCCGGAAUUAUUGGGCGUAAAGAGCUCGUAGGCGGUUUGUCGCGUCUGCCGUGAAAGUCCGGGGCUCAACUCCGGAUCUGCGGUGGGUACGGGCAGACUAGAGUGAUGUAGGGGAGACUGGAAUUCCUGGCGUAGCGGUGAAAUGCGCAGAUAUCAGGAGGAACACCGAUGGCGAAGGCAGGUCUCUGGGCAUUAACUGACGCUGAGACGCGAAAGCGUGGGGGAGCGAACAGG
rnacentral:rRNA from 1 species